UACAGAGGGUGCAAGCGUUAAUCGGAGUUACUGGGCGUAAAGGGCGCGUAGGCGGCUUUAUAAGUCGGGGGUGAAAGCCUGUGGCUCAACCACAGAAUUGCCUUCGAUACUGUAGAGCUUGAGACCGGAAGAGGUAAGUGGAACUGCGAGUGUAGAGGUGAAAUUCGUAGAUAUUCGCAAGAACACCAGUGGCGAAGGCGGCUUACUGGUCCGGUUCUGACGCUGAGGCGCGAAAGCGUGGGGAGCGAUCCGG
rnacentral:rRNA from 1 species